ensembl:lncRNA
AAAUUCAACAAUGGAUUUGAACACAUCGGAUUAGAGAAGCUAAAACAGCAAAACAAUUCAUUCAAAUUGAUUCACUUUUAAAACCAACUGAAAGGAAAAUUAGGGACUCAUCUGAUCUUCUACACCCCCACCAGACACAGUGCACAGACACAGUGCACAGACACAGACACAGACACAGUGCACAGACACAGACACAGUGCACAGUGCACAGACACAGUACACAGACACAGUGCACAGACACAGUGCACAGUAGCACAGACACAGUACACAGACACAGUACACAGACACAGUGCACAGACACAGUACACAGACACAGUGCACAGACACAGACACAGUGCACAGACACAGUGCACAGUGCACAGACACAGUACACAGACACAGACACAGUACACAGACACAGUGCACAGACACAGACACAGUGCACAGACACAGUGCACAGUGCACAGACACAGUACACAGACACAGACACAGUGCACAGACACAGUGCAGAGUGCACAGACACAGUGCACAGUGCACAGACACAGUGCACAGACACAGUGCACAGACACAGUGCACAGAGCACAGACACAGUACACAGACACAGUGCACAGACACAGACACAGUGCACAGACACAGUACACAGACACAGUGCACAGACAGAUUGCAGAGUACACAGUGCACAGACACAGUGCACAGACACAGUGCACAGACAGAUUGCAGAGUACACAGUACACAGACACAGUGCACAGACACAGUGCACAGACACAAUACACAGACACAGUGCACAGACAGAUUGCAGAGUACACAGUGCACAGACACAGUGCACAGACACAAUGCACAGACACAGUGCACAGACACAGUACACAGACACAGACACAGUGCACAGACAGAUUGCACAGUACACAGUGCACAGUGCACAGACACAGUGCACAGACACAGACACAGUGCACAGACAGAUUGCACAGUACACAGUGCACAGACACAGUACACAGACACAGUACACAGACACAGUGCACAGACACAGUACACAGACACAGUGCACAGAGAGAUUGCACAGUACACAGUGCACAGACACAGUGCACAGACACAGUGCACAGACACAGUACACAGUGCACAGACACAGACACAGUGCACAGACACAGUACACAGACACAAUACACAGACACAGUACACAGACACAGUACACAGACAGAUUGCACAGUACACAGUGCACAGACAGAUUGCACAGUACACAGUGCACAGACACAGUGCACAGACACAAUAUACAGACAGAUUGCACAGUACACAGUGCACAGACACAGUACACAGACACAAUACACAGUACACAGACACAAUGCACAGACAGUGCACAGACACAGUGCACAGACACAAUGCACAGACAGUACACGGACACAGUGCACAGACACAGUACACAGACACAGUGCACAGACACAGUACACAGUGCACAGACACAGACACAGUGCACAGACACAGUGCACAGACACAAUGCACAGACACAGUGCACAGACACAGACACAGUGCACAGACACAGUACACAGUGCACAGACACAGACACAGUACACAGACACAGUGCACAGACAGAUUGCACAGUACACAAUGCACAGACACAGUGCACAGACACAAUAUACAGACAGAUUGCACAGUACACAGUGCACAGACACAAUAUACAGACACAGUGCACAGACACAAUACACAGACACAGUGCACAGACACAGACACAAUGCACAGACACAGUGCACAGACACAGUGCACAGUGCACAGACACAGUGCACAGUACACAGACACAGUUCACAGACACAGUACACAGACACAGUACACGGACACAGUACACGGACACAGUACACAGACACAGCUCUACAUAACAACACUGUAUCAACUCCGCUCCAUCUUCAUCACUCUCUUCACGCUCUUCUCCCUAUAUGUGCGUCCGAACUUAAAUAUCUCCAGAGGAAUCCUCUCGGGACAGCUUCCAGCACUUUUCACUUAAACAAUUUCGUUUUCUCAUCAAAGGGUCCUGUUCUGAGGGUCACCCCCAUUUCCUCGGGCAAAUUAGAGUCACGUCAGCUUCAGGAGCCCGAGAGUUCGCGCCGAAUCGCCACUUCAGGACGAGGAGUAAUGAGACGCAAAGCGAGAAUGCGAAGACAAUUGGAAAGCACUAAUAUGCUCAGUAAGGCAAAGUUCAGUGUCUGAGUCAGCUGGAGUGAAAGUGUUAGUGUGGAGGAGGAUGAGGAGGAGGAGGAGGAGGAGGAGGAGGGAUCAAGGAAGCAGAGACACCCUGGUUUACUAAUAUUUAAUUCUAAUACAACAUGCCCUGUUAUUCAAGCAUGCAGCUAUAAUAAAAAGAAAAAUGGAGGGCAUUACGACUGACACUGUUAGUUAGUUCAAAUGAUAAGUGUAGCUGUAGCUUUUGAGUGUUGAACCUCAUACACUCCUAAACUCCAAACAUUUUCAGACCACAUCGUGACGAAAUCUUGAAUGCGAUCGGUUUUCUUUAACCGUAGCUCUGAGAGUAGUGUUGGCUGCAAGACGAAUCACAUGCUCAUAUUAAUGCACUUAAUAUAACAUAAUAUAAUAUAAUGUUAUUGUUUCUUUAGUAACAGAUCAUUCACGAUGGAGAGCUUUAUUGUUUGACGAAGCAAAAUGUAUAAUCAGUGAGAUGGACGGCGUCUCUGGCGUCAGUGUGGAGGUAAAUCUGUUCGUUUGGGCUUUUCUUGGGCAUUUUUUUUUGUCUUAUUUACUUCAGGAGAGAGGGAGAGAGAGAAAAGAGAGGAUUGAAAUAAAAGGAGUGACUGAUUACAGCUGUUAAAUGAUAGCAACAAACUUGUUUCGAAGAACAUUAAAUGGAUGGGGGGGGAGUAUGAACUGACGCUCUUCAAUAAAUAAAUCAAUCAAAAUAUAUUGUUGGUGAACUGCUGUGGUAAAAGAGUAAUAAAACACUUCUGAGUCGUAACAGUGACUCUGCUUCGAGUCAGGUUCAUCCCACUACCCUGUGAUUGAUUAUUUUACUAUACCAACAUGUCCUCAAGAGCUUUAUUUGUUACUUAUGAUGCAGGGAUGUCAAGGGUUGACACCAGCAUGGUGGAAGGACUGGUGAAGCCAUGCUGGGAAAGUCCUCCUGAGGAGGACAGAAGGAACACUCCCUGCAGCGCAGCGUCUCUCAGCUGGUGAAGUGGGCAGUUGCUUUGCCAUCGACUCGGACGGCGGACGACACAGCUGGGAAUCAAUCCCAGUCAGAAAACACAGUGUGUUUAGUGUUCUCGCUUCACACAGUCUCGCUUUUUCGAGCGUCUUCAUUACAAGAGAUGUGCUAUCUACCCCCCCCCCCCCCCCCCCCCCUUCAAGGCUGACAGAUAAAACCUAUCAUUGUUUACACAGAGUGUGUAUUCAUUAGUCUUUUUAUGACACAUGAGCACUGAACGUUCAGAUUUAUCCAUGGUUGUUAAUUCAGCAGUGUUUGAUUUAGUGUCUGUUAUAGCGAUACAUUCACCUGCGGUUUAAUCCCUCCACUCGGUCCCAUCCACACUGCUGUGUAUUCGAGCAUCUUCGCUUCUUUGUAAUAACGGUCUUUUCUAAUGACGUUCCCCUAGAGGGUCCCCAGGAAGAGUCUCGACAAAAAGUGAUAAUUACAUGAAAUAUACAUAGAGAAUAAAAGGAGUGUGUUUACAUAACGCAUCCCAUAAAUAUCUGACUGGGAAGACAUUGUUCUCCGGCUCCUUUUAAGCCCAUCUCCCAGGGACGCCAUUUUAAUGACAUGAUGGUUUAAAGAGAUGCCUCUCCGCUUCGCUCCAUAUUUAAUUAACUUCUCCUUUUCUUUGCCGGAAAAAAGGGGGAAUAAAGAGACAAACACUCGAUAGCUCUGAGACAAUAACAAAUAACUGGGAAG